GUACUAGGAUGGGUGACCUCCCGGG
rnacentral:sRNA from 1 species